rnacentral:rRNA from 1 species
CGUACGGGAUCCGAGGUAGCAAUACUUUGGUGAGAGUGGCGCACGGGUGCGUAACACGUAUGCAACCUACCUAUAACCGGGACACAACCUCGAGAAAUUGUGGCUAAUAUCCCAUAACACUGCGAAGUGGCAUCAUUUUGCAGUUAAAACUCCGGUGGUUAUAGAUGGGCAUGCGCGACAUUAGCUAGUUGGUGAGGUAACGGCCCACCAAGGCUACGAUGUCUAGGGGUUCUGAGAGGAUUUUCCCCCACACUGGUACUGAGACACGGACCAGACUCCUACGGGAGGCAGCAGUAAGGAAUAUUGGUCAAUGGGCGCAAGCCUGAACCAGCCAUGCCGCGUGAAGGAUGACGGCCCUAUGGGUUGUAAACUUCUUUUGUACGGGAAAAAACCACCGGUCGUGUAUCGGUGCUGAUGGUACCGUAAGAAUAAGCAUCGGCUAACUCCGUGCCAGCAGCCGCGGUAAUACGGAGGAUGCAAGCGUUAUCCGGAUUCAUUGGGUUUAAAGGGUGCGCAGGCGGAAUUAUAAGUCAGUGGUGAAAGCCUACAGCUU